rfam:Gossypium arboreum cultivar AKA8401 contig_35058_1, whole genome shotgun sequence.
AACGCAUGGUGAGGACACCUUUUCAAUAGAUCUUUGUAUCUCUCCCAUGAAUCGUAAAGUAUUUCUAAGUCUAUCUACAUAAAAAAAGAGAUAUCAUUGCGUAAUUU